GACGAACGCUGGCGGCGUGCCUAAUACAUGCAAGUCGAGCGGACCAAAGGGAGCUUGCUCCUGGAGGUUAGCGGCGAACGGGUGAGUAACACGUGGGCAACCUGCCUGUAAGACUGGGAUAACAUCGAGAAAUCGGUGCUAAUACCGGAUAAUAAAAAGAACUGCAUGGUUCUUUUUGAAAGAUGGUUUCGGCUAUCACUUACAGAUGGGCCCGCGGCGCAUUAGCUAGUUGGUGAGGUAACGGCUCACCAAGGCGACGAUGCGUAGCCGACCUGAGAGGGUGAUCGGCCACACUGGGACUGAGGCACGGCCCAGACUCCUACGGGAGGCAGCAGUAGGGAAUCUUCCGCAAUGGACGAAAGUCUGACGGAGCAACGCCGCGUGAGUGAUGAAGGUUUUCGGAUCGUAAAACUCUGUUGUUAGGGAAGAACAAGUGCCGUUCGAAAGGGCGGCACCUUGACGGUACCUAACGAGAAAGCCACGGCUAACUACGUGCCAGCAGCCGCGGUAAAGU
rnacentral:rRNA from 1 species